ACGCUCGACACCUACUGGAGGCAGCAGUGGGGAAUAUUGCACAAUGGGGGAAACCCUGAUGCAGCGACGCCGCGUGAGCGAAGAAGUAUUUCGGUAUGUAAAGCUCUAUCAGCAGGGAAGAAACUGACGGUACCUGACUAAGAAGCACCGGCUAAAUACGUGCCAGUAGCCGCGGUAAUCUGAGCGGGCUGGCAAGGC
rnacentral:rRNA from 1 species